ensembl:lncRNA
GCCAACAAACCCUCAGACUUAGUCUCUGUGUAGUUUUUAGAAGAUAAACCACACGUGUUGUGUUAAUAGCUAAAAGGCAGACUCACUUAAGAAAGCAGAAACGGAAGUAUCAAAAUCUAGAGAUUUUCUAAUGAUGUGCUUCUGUGAAGUUUAGCUGCAUUAAUUAAUUUAGCUGGGUUGGGGUGAGUGAGGGCUCUGCCACGUGGUGGCCACUCCAAGAGGCUGGCUCUCCUCUGCUUUCCCUUAGAACAGUCCUCUGUAGAGCCCAAUGGUCAUAAUGUGACCAAUCUCCUGAUUUGUGGUGGAAGUCUCGAGGAAAUCAGGGAAGGAGGGUGAGAAGUAUCCUAGUCCCAGGGAGGACAUUUAGAACAUUGGAUUUUUCUUCCUUGAGCAGGCUUGUGAUGUGUGAUCCCUUCAAGCAGAAAGUGUAGAGGAGUGACCCUGAAGAUGUGUGACCACUCACAUACCACGCAAGACUUCUCGAGACUUCCAGGUUUUCCUUACUGGUAGAGAGCUGGGCAACGGAGCAUACGCACACAAGUUCUCAACUUCUACAGUCUCUUUCUGGUCACAACCAGAAUCUAGUGACUGAAAUCAGAAGAAUUUCACCCACUCCUAAGUGUGGGCAAGACCAGAAAAAAUGUAUAUCAAUCAUCAAGAGUCAAAAACUCGGCUUCAACAAUAUGUCGCUGGCAAGAAGUUUCCUGUUAAACUGAAGAGAAACACAAGUCCCUUUGUGAUAGGUAUGGGAUAAAACAUAGACAGGAGAAAUUAAUAAUAUAGUGGAGUGCAUCUUUGGGUAGUAGGAUGAUCAGAACUCAUAAAAUUACUCUGAAGCAUGGUAACUGCUGAGUAUAGCAGAGUAGAGUGGGGGGGAGUGAAUACUUAUUGAAAUACCUACCAUGUGUCAGGCUUUGUGCUAUGGUUUUCCUAUGCUUUCUUAUUUAAAUCUCACAACAAAAAUUAGGACGUGAUUAUUCUCCCUAACUCAUAGAUGAGAAAGCUAAAGUUCAAAGAUAUGAGAAACAUUGAUGCCAAAUCAUACAGGUAGUAGAGGACACAGCCAGUGUUUGAACCCAAAUUUGAAUCCAAAAGCUUUGUUUUUUCCCAGUGCAUUAUGAAACUAUAUAUGGCAUCCAUCAACUAUUUUAUUGCAUGAUGCCUCAAGAGAGAGAGCCAAGACAUCCUCACAAUUGCUUUAAAUGUAACGCUUGACCUCCAUAAGUGACAACAAUCAGUGAGGAAAACUGUUUAUGGUCUGCAAACAUCAGGUCAAGAAACAGUCUUGGCACUCAGAUUGACAAUCCCCAUCCAUACCAUCAGAGAUGAAAACCUGAGUCUCUCAUUUUCCUGUUAUAACCAAGGAAAAAGGGAAGCAUUAUGCUGGCUUUUCUCUGUGUUCAAAGGAUGGGAUCAGGUGCCUGAUUGUCAAGAUGCUGCGUGUUGAUGAUCCACCCCUUACCUUACACUAAUUGGCUUCUGAGUGCUUUUCCGCCAAGACUUAAUUAGAAACAUCCUACCUGGUGCUUUAAUAAUGUGAAGAUUUUACUUCAUUGUUGUUAAGCCAUUCUUUAAAAAAAAAGAGAGAGAGAAAGUUAUUCAAAGUUUAGUUUCAAUAUGCUUGAAUUUUAAUCUCAUAUUUCUUAGCUGAAGCACAUUUUUUCUUUUGGAUCAGAAAGCACUCCUGGCUGCUAUCAAGAGUAA